GAUGAACGCUGGCGGCGUGCCUAAUACAUGCCAGUCGAGCGAACAGACGAGGAGCUUGCUCCUCUGACGUUAGCGGCGGACGGGUGAGUAACACGUGGAUAACCUACCUAUAAGACUGGGAUAACUUCGGGAAACCGGAGCUAAUACCGGAUAAUAUAUUGAACCGCAUGGUUCAAUAGUGAAAGACGGUUUUGCUGUCACUUAUAGAUGGAUCCGCGCCGCAUUAGCUAGUUGGUAAGGUAACGGCUUACCAAGGCAACGAUGCGUAGCUGACCUGAGAGAGUGAUCGGCCACACUGGAACUGAGACACGGUCCAGACUCCUACGGGAGGCAGCAGUAGGGAAUCUUCCGCAAUGGGCGAAAGCUUGACGUAGCAACGCCGCGUGAGUGAUGAAGGUCUUCGGAUCGUAAAACUCUGUUAUUAGGGAAGAACAAAUGUGUAAGUAACUAUGCACGUCUUGACGGUACCUAAUCAGAAAGCCACGGCUAACUACGUG
rnacentral:rRNA from 1 species